UACGAAGGGGGCUAGCGUUGUUCGGAAUCACUGGGCGUAAAGGGCGCGUAGGCGGCUUUAUAAGUCGGGGGUGAAAGCCUGUGGCUCAACCACAGAAUUGCCCUUCGAUACUGUAGAGCUUGAGACCGGAAGAGGUAAGUGGAACUGCGAGUGUAGAGGUGAAAUUCGUAGAUAUUCGCAAGAACACCAGUGGCGAAGGCGGCUUACUGGUCCGGUUCUGACGCUGAGGCGCGAAAAGCGUGGGGAGCAAACAGG
rnacentral:rRNA from 1 species